AGAGAGAGAGAGAGAGACACAAGAGCAGCAGAAGAAGCUUCUAGAAGUGAGCCAGGCUGUGUGUGUGCUUAACAAACACUACAGGUAAUUUUGAUACAUAGGAAGUGCUUUUUUGAGUUGGUGGAGAAUUUCUCUUUUUCUUUUCUUUCUUUUUUUUUUUUUUUUUCUUUUUGUGACAAGUUUUCUCUGCAUAACCCUGGCUGUCCUGGAACUUGCUCUGUAGACCAGGAUGGCCUUGAACUCACAGAGACCCACCUGCCUCUACCUCCUAAGUGCUGGGCUUAAAGACAUGUACUACCACCACUAGUAUAAUGGGUAAAAUUUUUAGGUUGCUAAAAAAAAUCAUAAAAGCAAAUCAAAACAAUAGGUUAGGAGACUCAUGAGAAGGCCAGGGUCUUCUCCAAGCAAUUAUAGACAGGCUAUCUUCCCUUUCCUGUCUUCUUGACAUAAUUUAAUCUGUUCUUUUGCCGGAGCAGAUCCAACUCAUGAGGGCACAGCAGAGGGCAUGGAGAACAUGGCAGAUGCUGUCACUCACGCCCGUUUUGUGGGCACAGAUCCUGCCAGUGAUGAAGUUGUCCUGAUGAAAAUCCUUCAGGUAAGUGGGAGGGGAGAACAACCAGGCUAAUGGCCAAGAGCUCGUAGGCCGGCUCUACUUGCUGGGUCAGCCGGCAGCAGUGUGAAGCUCGUAGGCCGGCUCUACUUGCUGGGUCAGCCGGCAGCAGCGUGAAGCUGUGCUUUGAUUCCACUGAGGCUUUAGAGACUCACUGUUUCCAAACAAGGAGCUCGGUACCCAAAGUAAAAGCUUUUUCUAAGGGAAAUAGUUAAGAGCUUUAAAUGAAUUGGUAUCAAAUACCAGAAACCCUUACUCCAUCUUGUGCCUCUGGUAGACUGUGUCUGUGUCGUUUAUCUGUUAGGCCUGUGGGCUAGAGAUCCAGUGAGUUAUGAACUAUGUCAGGACUGUGCGAAGCAAAGAGAGGACUCCCAGGUCAGGUACAUGGGAGUAGCUAUUUUGAGUUUUUGUUUUGGGGUUUUUGUUGUUGUUGUUGUUGUUGUUGCUGUUGUUUUGACUCAGGGUUUCUCUGUGUAGCCCUGGCUGUCCAGGAACUCACUCUGUAGAAUAGGCUGCCCUCAAACUCAAGAUCUGCCUGCUUCUGCCUCCAGAGUGCUGGGAUUAAAGGUGUGCACCACCACACUUGUUUUAAUUUUUUUAAUUUUUUGUUUUUGUUUUGGUGGGGCAGGGUCUCAUAUAACUAAGGAUGACCUUGAAUUCUUAUUCCUGUUUUGACUUCCCAAGUGCUUGUGACAUUUUACCUAGCUUUAAGGUCAGCUUACUUCUUGCUAACU
rnacentral:lncRNA from 1 species